rnacentral:rRNA from 1 species
CAGUAGCCGCGGUAAUACGAAGGGUGCAAGCGUUAAUCGGAAUUACUGGGCGUAAAGCGUGCGUAGGCGGUUUGUUAAGUCUGCUGUGAAAUCCCCGGGCUCAACCUGGGAAUGGCAGUGGAUACUGGCAAGCUAGAGUGUGUCAGAGGAUGGUGGAAUUCCCGGUGUAGCGGUGAAAUGCGUAGAGAUCGGGAGGAACAUCAGUGGCGAAGGCGGCCAUCUGGGACAACACUGACGCUGAGGCACGAAAGCGUGGGGAGCAAACAGGAUUAGAUACCCGGGUAGUCCCUGUCUCUUAUAU